UACGUAGGGGGCUAGCGUUGUCCGGAAUCAUUGGCGUAAAGCGCGUGUAGGCGGCCAGAAAAGUCCGCUGUGAAAACUCGAGGCUCAACUUCGAGCUGUCGGUGGAAACUUUCUGGCUAGAGUCCGGAAGAGGAGAAUGGAAUUCCUGGUGUAGCGGUGAAAUGCGCAGAUAUCAGGAAGAACACCCGUGGCGAAGGCGGUUCUCUGGGACGGUACUGACGCUGAGACGCGAAAGCGUGGGGAGCGAACAGG
rnacentral:rRNA from 1 species